GCCGGGCGCGGUGGCGCAUGCCUGUAGUCACAGCUACUCGGGAGGCUGAGGCUGGAGGAUCGCUUGAGUCCAGGAGUUCUGGGCUAUAGUGCACUAUGCUGAUCAGGUGUCAGCACUAAGUUCAGCAUCAAUAUGGUGACCUCCCGGGAGCGAGGGACCACCAGGUUGCCUAAGGAGGGGUGAACCAGCCCAUGUCAGAAACGGAGCAGGUCAACACCCCCGUGCUGAUCAGUAGUGGGAUCGCACUGUGAAUAGCCACUGCACUCCAGCCUGGGCAACAUAGUGAGACCCCGUCUCU
rnacentral:SRP_RNA from 1 species